AACUCACUUCCACCAACGCCAGGAUAUUACGAGCUUUAGCUUAAAACCCAAAGGACUUGACGGUGUCCCAUCCAUCUAGAGGAGCCUGUUCCAUCAUCGAUAAUCCCCGCUACACCUAACCACCCCUUGCCAAUCAGUCUGUAUACCUCCGUCGUAAACUUACCAUGUGAGUGCUCACAGUAAGUUUAAUGGCCACCAUCACCAAUACGUCAGGUCAAGGUGCAGCUCAUGGGGCGGCAGGCAAUGGGCUACAAUUUCUAUACUAGAACAAACGAAACGCUGCAUGAAAUACAGCCACGAAGGCGGAUUUAGUAGUAAAAAGAAAAUAGCGUGUUCUUUUAAACUAGGCCCUGGGACGUGU
rnacentral:rRNA from 1 species